rnacentral:rRNA from 1 species
ACGCUCGACACCUACGGGGGGCAGCAGUAGGGAAUCUUCCACAAUGGACGCAAGUCUGAUGGAGCAACGCCGCGUGAGUGAAGAAGGUUUUCGGAUCGUAAAGCUCUGUUGUUGGUGAAGAAGGAUAGAGGUAGUAACUGGCCUUUAUUUGACGGUAAUCAACCAGAAAGUCACGGCUAACUACGUGUCAGCAGCCGCGGUAAUCUGAGCGGGCUGGCAAGGC